rnacentral:tRNA from 1 species
GGGGAUUUAGCUCAGUGGUAGAGCUAUGCCUAGCAAGCACAAGGCCCUGGGUUCGGUCCCCAGCUCUG